rnacentral:lncRNA from 1 species
GCUCAUAUUGCUAUUCUUCAUUCUAGAAUUAACUGGGUAAGUUUUGAUGUACUAACCUUGUAUAUUUGGAUUUAUUUUGUUAAUUUCCAUAGUUUUGUUACACUUAAUUAAAGCCUAUUGCUGAAAAUGCUUUCUUUCUCUCUUGGUACUAAGACAAGUAUUUUUGGUUGCCAACUCUUUGUUGUUGGUCUUGACUACAUAAAUUCGACUUAUGUUGUUGCUUUGCAACCUGGAACAAUACCAGUCUUUACGUUCAUACUUGCUUUACUCAUGAGGUCAGUAAACAUUUCAUCUCUCGAUUAUGUAUCCUUGUUCCCAUCACUCCUAUUUCUUGCAUGACCUGUGAGUUGAGUGAAUCUUUUGUUGCUAAACUUUGUGAGAUGUGAAAGAUCAAGUUCUAUCAAGUAUAAGUGUUGUAUUUUAAUACCAAACUGUUUUGUGCUUUAAAUUGGAGCAACCACAAAUACUUUAUUUUUGUGCAUAGAAUGAGAGCAUUGCAAUCAAUUCGAGAAUGUAUAUCCUUCUAAUUGAUACAAUAUGACCUGAGAUAAGUCCCUAUUUUUGUUGAAAUGGACUUUCUAAGGAACAAAAUAUCAGAAAUUCAGGAACAAAUUAAAUCCGAGAUAGAGGAGGUAAUUCAUCUAAUUCCAGAAAAAAUGCUGCAUAUAGUUUGGUCAUAUAUGUGCCACAUAAAAUGGGAUGGAGGGAGUACUUAAAACGAGGGGUUGGGUUGUUACAUAUAGUUUCUCUUAUGAAGAGCUUUAGGUUUUUCCAUUUCCUAAUCACUUUUUUUCCUCUUUGUUUUGACAGUUGCGACUACUAUUGGGUCUGUGUUGGCUUUUUGGAUGGUUCCGAUGCAAACACUUGAUUAGGAUGGCUAGAAGAUAGCUACCGCUCUUAUGGGAAGACACAUAAGUCCGCUUCCUAAGUCAUUUUUCUUUAACAACAACAUUUCAAGUACUUGCUAUGAUGCUUAUUUCUGGAAGUAUGUUGACUUCUCUUCAUUAAUUGUUUGAGCUGUCUUACAGUCCUCCUGUGACGGGUUAUUGAGUAAUGUAGAAUUGUAAGUUUACUCUCUUAUGUAAGUUUGCUCUCUUAUUUAGUUGUGUUCAUUAUUGUCCCUUUCUCUUCCUCAUGAUGAACAAGUAUUAUGCUUCUGUUCAAUGUUUUUUGUUCGACCACUGUUGUGGACAUGAAAAUAAUUACAUACGCAAUUAGAUAAAAUGAGACUAGAAUUUCACUUUAAAAUGCCUAAAUUAUAUCCCUAAAGUGUUUGUACUUUGUGGAUUUAUUGAAAGUUGAAACUCUGAUGGAGUAUCGUUUUCUCAGUUUAAUCUUGAGAUGACAUCAUUUUUUUAGUUUCUAACUAGACCUAACAACUUCUCCUCCUCUUCUCUUUCGUUUAUUGAUGCUUUAAGUUCUUUUUGGUUUCAGCUCUCCUUUUCAUUGGAUUAGCUUGAUUUUUAUUUCAAUUUUCCUGCUUUAUGUAGUGCUUGUGUUGUAGUCUUGUUGCAUGUACUGAGUUAUACUUCAUUAGCUGUUUUCGAGGGUUGUUGGUGUUUUUUGAUAUACGUGCAUUUAUUCUCUAGCCAAUUUUUUAGGUUCACUCCAAAAACAUCUUCGUCUCUCUUAACUCAUCCCAAGAAAAAAAUAAAAUCCACCAUUUAUAGUGGAAUUUUCAUCAAUUUCAUUUGCUAAUCGGUUGAGUGGACAAAAAGAUCAUUUAAAACUAAAUAAUAUCUUCCUACGGGAAUCUCAGGUACUACCACUUCAGCUGGGCAAUACGGUGUAAUAUGCGAAGCAGUUGAGCCAUAGUUCUUCGAUCGUUAUAUUCUUGCGAUAGCGAAGGUGUGGCUCAUCCUCUAAGAGAGAGUAGAUGCAAAGGUUCGGAUCGAAGAUCUUCGCGAGACAGCCCCAGCACUAUAGCAUGUCAGGAAUAAGGGGGACAUAGUGAACGUAACCACUCCCUUGAUAGGGGAGUCACGAUUGGGGGCUGUGACUCCCCUAUCCUUUCAAUUUGUUGAUUCCUGGGUCUUUUUUGUUAUCAUUGUUGGAAUAUUUUUGUUGAUAACUUGGUCAAUGCAGUUGCCCACUAUAUAGACUUGAAGACUAAAAAAUAAUUCCUUCCAUCUGAAAAUCAACAUAUUUCCCUGUUUCAUUACGAAAUCACAG